UUUUUCUUAUUUUGGCUUAGUUACGAUUAAUAGGAGUAGCUUGGGGGCAUUUGUAUUCAGAUGUCAGAGGUGAAAUUCUUAGAUUUUCUGGAGACAAACAACUGCGAAAGCAUUUGCCUAAAAUACUUCCAUUAAUCAAGAACGAAAGUUAAGGGAGUGAAGACGAUCAGAUACCGUCGUAAUCUUAACCAUAAACUAUGCCGACUAGGCUUUGGAUGAAAGAUUUUAAAAUAAGAGUUUUUCUUUUCUCUCCGGAGAUUAGAACUCUUAGAUUGCUUCCUUCAGUGCCUUAUGAGAAAUCAAAGUCUUUGGGUUCUGGGGCGAGUAUUCGCGCAAGCGAGAAAGUUAAAAGAAUUGACGGAAGGGCACCACCAGGCGUGGAGCUUGCGGCUUAAUUUGACUCAACACGGGAAAACUCACUAGUUUAAGACAAGAGUAGGAUUGACAGAUUAAUAGCUCUUUCUUGAUUUCUUGGAUGGUGAUGCAUGGCCGUUUUUAGUUCGUGAAUAUGAUUUGUCUGGUUAAUUCCGAUAACGAACGAGAUCUUAACCUGCUAAUUAGCGGCAAAUACA
rnacentral:rRNA from 1 species